rnacentral:rRNA from 1 species
GAUGAACGCUGGCGGCGUGCCUAAUACAUGCAAGUCGAGCGAACAGAUGAGGAGCUUGCUCCUCUGACGUUAGCGGCGGACGGGUGAGUAACACGUGGAUAACCUACCUAUAAGACUGGGAUAACUUCGGGAAACCGGAGCUAAUACCGGAUAAUAUAUUGAACCGCAUGGUUCAAUAGUGAAAGACGGUUUUGCUGUCACUUAUAGAUGGAUCCGCGCCGCAUUAGCUAGUUGGUAAGGUAACGGCUUACCAAGGCAACGAUGCGUAGCCGACCUGAGAGGGGGAACGGCCACACUGGAACUGAGACACGGUCCAGACUCCUACGGGAGGCAGCAGUAGGGAAGCUUCCGAAAUGGGCGAAAGCCUGACGGAGCAACGCCGCGUGAGUGAUGAAGGUCUUCGGAUCGUAAAACGCUGUUAUUGGGGAAGAACAAAUGUGUAAGUAACUAUGCACGUCUUGACGGUACCGAAUCAGAAAGCCACGGCUAACUACGU